CGUAGGGUGCGAGCGUUAAUCGGAAUUACUGGGCGUAAAGCGUGCGCAGGCGGUUUUGUAAGACAGAUGUGAAAUCCCCGGGCUCAACCUGGGACCUGCAUUUGUGACUGCAAGGCUAGAGUACGGUAGAGGGGGAUGGAAUUCCGCGUGUAGCAGUGAAAUGCGUAGAUAUGCGGAGGAACACCGAUGGCGAAGGCAAUCCCCUGGACCUGUACUGACGCUCAUGCACGAAAGCGUGGGGAGCAAACAGGAUUAGAUACCCUGGUAGUCCACGCCCUAAACGAUGUCAACUGGUUGUUGGGUCUUUACUGACUCAGUAACGAAGCUAACGCGCGAAGUUGACCGCCUGGGGAGUACGGCCGCAAGGUUG
rnacentral:rRNA from 1 species